rnacentral:rRNA from 1 species
GGGAGCGUUCUGUAAGCCUGCGAAGGUGGCCUGUGAGGGUUGCUGGAGGUAUCAGAAGUGCGAAUGCUGACAUAAGUAACGAUAAAGCGGGUGAAAAGCCCGCUCGCCGGAAGACCAAGGGUUCCUGUCCAACGUUAAUCGGGGCAGGGUGAGUCGACCCCUAAGGCGAGGCCGAAAGGCGUAGUCGAUGGGAAACGGGUUAAUAUUCCCGUACUUGGUGUUACUGCGAAGGGGGGACGGAGAAGGCUAUGUUGGCCGGGCGACGGUUGUCCCGGUUUAAGCGUGUAGGUGUGUGUUCCAGGUAAAUCCGGUUCACUUUAACACUGAGGCGUGAUGACGAGGCACUACGGUGCUGAAGCAACAAAUGCCCUGCUUCCAGGAAAAGCCUCUAAGCAUCAGGUAACAUCAAAUCGUACCCCAAACCGACACAGGUGGUCAGGUAGAGAAUACCAAGGCGCUUGAGAGAACUCGGGUGAAGGAACUAGGCAAAAUGGUGCCGUAACUUCGGGAGAAGGCACGCUGACACGUAGGUGAAGUGAUUUACUCAUGGAGCUGAAGUCAGUCGAAGAUACCAGCUGGCUGCAACUGUUUAUUAAAAACACAGCACUGUGCAAACACGAAAGUGGACGUAUACGGUGUGACGCCUGCCCGGUGCCGGAAGGUUAAUUGAUGGGGUCAGCGCAAGCGAAGCUCCUGAUCGAAGCCCCGGUAAACGGCGGCCGUAACUAUAACGGUCCUAAGGUAGCGAAAUUCCUUGUCGGGUAAGUUCCGACCUGCACGAAUGGCGUAAUGAUGGCCAGGCUGUCUCCACCCGAGACUCAGUGAAAUUGAACUCGCUGUGAAGAUGCAGUGUACCCGCGGCAAGACGGAAAGACCCCGUGAACCUUUACUAUAGCUUGACACUGAACAUUGAGCCUUGAUGUGUAGGAUAGGUGGGAGGCUUUGAAGUGUGGACGCCAGUCUGCAUGGAGCCGGCCUUGAAAUACCACCCUUUAAUGUUUGAUGUUCUAACGUGGACCCGUGAUCCGGGUUGCGGACAGUGUCUGGUGGGUAGUUUGACUGGGGCGGUCUCCUCCUAAAGAGUAACGGAGGAGCACGAAGGUUGGCUAAUCCUGGUCGGACAUCAGGAGGUUAGUGCAAUGGCAUAAGCCAGCUUGACUGCGAGCGUGACGGCGCGAGCAGGUGCGAAAGCAGGUCAUAGUGAUCCGGUGGUUCUGAAUGGAAGGGCCAUCGCUCAACGGAUAAAAGGUACUCCGGGGAUAACAGGCUGAUACCGCCCAAGAGUUCAUAUCGACGGCGGUGUUUGGCACCUCGAUGUCGGCUCAUCACAUCCUGGGGCUGAAGUAGGUCCCAAGGGUAUGGCUGUUCGCCAUUUAAAGUGGUACGCGAGCUGGGUUUAGAACGUCGUGAGACAGUUCGGUCCCUAUCUGCCGUGGGCGCUGGAGAACUGAGGGGGGCUGCUCCUAGUACGAGAGGACCGGAGUGGACGCAUCACUGGUGUUCGGGUUGUCAUGCCAAUGGCACUGCCCGGUAGCUAAAUGCGGAAGAGAUAAGUGCUGAAAGCAUCUAAGCACGAAACUUGCCCCGAGAUGAGUUCUCCCUGAGACUUUAGGUCUCCUGAAGGAACGUUGAAGACGACGACGUUGAUAGGCCGGGUGUGUAAGCGCAGCGAUGCGUUGAGCUAACCGGUACUAAUGAACCGUGAGGCUUAACCUUACA